rnacentral:rRNA from 1 species
UACGGGGGGGGUAAGCGUUGUUCGGAAUUACUGGGCGUAAAGGGCGUGUAGGCGGUUUGUCAAGUCGGGUGUGAAAGCCUGGGGCUCAGCCUCAGAAGUGCAUCCGAAACUAGCGAGCUGGAGCGCGAUAGAGGAGGGUGGAAUUCCUGGUGUAGCGGUGAAAUGCGUAGAUAUCAGGAGGAACACCGGCGGCGAAGGCGGCCCUCUGGAUCGUUGCUGACGCUGAGACGCGAAAGCGUGGGGAGCAAACAGG